rnacentral:rRNA from 1 species
GAUGAACGCUGGCGGCGUGCCUAACACAUGCAAGUCGAGCGAACGGACGAGGCGCUUGCGUCUCUGACGUUAGCGGCGGGCGGGUGAGUCACACGUGUAUAACCUACCUAUAAUAGUGGGAUCACUUCGGGAAACCGGAUCUAAUACCGGAUAAGCUUUUGCUCCGCAGGGUUCAAAAGAGAAAGACGGUGUUGGUGUCACUACUAGAUGCAUCUGCGCUGCAUUAGCUAGUUGGUAAGGUAACGGCCUACCAAGGCGACGAUGCGUAGACGAGCGGAUAGAGUGAUCGCCGACAUUGGAGCGGAAACACGGACCAUACUCCUAAGGGAGGCAGCAGUAGCGAAUGGUACGCAAUAGUCGAGAGCCUUACGGAACGACGCCACGUGUGAGAUGAAGGUCUUCGGAUCGUGAAGCUGUCUUAUGGGGGAAGAACAGAUGUGUAAGUUGACGAGGCGAUCGUGACGGUAACGAAUCAAAAAGCAACGGCUAACUACGUG